rnacentral:tRNA from 1 species
GGGUGAUUAGCUCAAUUGGUAGAGUAUUUCCUUUACACGGAAAAAGCUAGCGGUUCGAAUCCGUUAUCACCUA